CAAUAGCGUAUAUUAAAGUUGUUGCAGUUAAAAAGCUCGUAGUUGAAUUUUUGCUUGCCGCCGAUGUCGGAACUUCCGUACGUUCGGCGGCGUGCAUCCUUGGGUGGAACCUGUGUGGCAUUAGGUUGUCGUGCAGGGGAUGCUCAUCGUUUACUGUGAAAAAAUUAGAGUGUUCAAAGCAGGCUUAUGCCGUUGAAUAUAUUAGCAUGGAAUAAUAAGAUAGGACCUUGGUACUAUUUUGUUGGUUUGCGCACCGAGGUAAUGAUUAACAGGGACAGUUGGGGGUAUUCGUAUUCCAUUGUCAGAGGUGAAAUUCUUGGAUUUAUGAAGGACGAACUUCUGCGAAAGCAUUUGUCAAGGAUGUUUGCAUUAA
rnacentral:rRNA from 1 species